rnacentral:rRNA from 1 species
CCUACGGGAGGCAGCAGUGAGGAAUAUUGGUCAAUGGGCGGAAGCCUGAACCAGCCAAGUAGCGUGCAGGAUGACGGCCCUACGGGUUGUAAACUGCUUUUAUACGGGAAUAACGCGCCUUACGUGUAGGGCUUUGCAUGUACCGUAUGAAUAAGGACCGGCUAAUUCCGUGCCAGCAGCCGCGGUAAUACGGAAGGUUCGGGCGUUAUCCGGAUUUAUGGGGUUUAAAGGGAGCGUAGGCGGCAUGUCAAGGGUGCGGUGAAAUGUCCGGGCUCAACCCCGGCCUUGCAGCGCGAACUGGCGUGCUUGAGUCGGCGGAAGGCAGGCGGAAUUCGUGGUGUAGCGGUGAAAUGCGUAGAUAUGACGAAGAACCCCGAUUGCGAAGGCAGCUUGCUGCAGCGGAACUGACGCUGAUGCUCGAAAGCGCGGGUAUCGAACAGGAUUAGAUACCCGGGUAGUC